rnacentral:misc_RNA from 1 species
GAUGAAGAACGUAGCGAAAUGCGAUAAGUAAUGUGAAUUGCAGAAUUCAGUGAAUCAUCGAAUCUUUGAACGCACAUUGCGUCCGCCAGUAUUCUGGCGGGCAUGCCUGUUCGAGCGUCAUUUCAACCAUCAAGCCCUGCUUGCGUUGGGGUCCUGCGGCUGCCCGCAGGCCCUGAAAACCAGUGGCGGGCUCGCUAGUCACACCGAGCGCAGUAAUACAUCUCGCUUUGGGCGUGCGGCGGGUUCUUGCCGUUAAACACCCCCUUUUUACCAAGGUUGACCUCGGAUCAGGUAGGAAUACCCGCUGAACUUAAGCAUAUCAAUAAGCGGAGGA